UACAGAGGGGGCAAGCGUUAUUCGGAAUUAUUGGGCGUAAAGGGCUCGUAGGUGGCCAACUAAGUCAGACGUGAAAUCCCUCGGCUUAACCGGGGAACUGCGUCUGAUACUGGAUGGCUUGAGUUUGGGAGAGGGACGCGGAAUUCCAGGUGUAGCGGUGAAAUGCGUAGAUAUCUGGAGGAACACCGGUGGCGAAGGCGGCGUCCUGGACCAACACUGACACUGAGGAGCGAAAGCCAGGGGAGCAAACGGG
rnacentral:rRNA from 1 species